GUUUUGGAAAUCCUGGAAUCAUCACUUUCUGGCUUGAAAACCCCAUGAAGCAGAGAAAUCAGUUACUACUUGUCCUUGGAUCUUCAAGCAAGAAGCUGUUUGAAUUGAAACAUCAUGCCUUUGGUUCCUGCUAAGCAUCUCUCUGACAUGCGAAGUAAUCAAGACCUUCUGGUGAAACCAGUUCCCUCAUCAGGGUUCAGCAUGAUUGAUGGUGAUGUAAGGCUGCAUUGCUCAUGGAAUUUCAAGGAGCUAUGGCAUGUUUAUGCUGAAAGUUAUAUAAUGAAGUUGAAUGAAGCAGGUGUCAGAUCUACAUCUCUCUAUACACUUAUUUUACCAGUUCAGAAAAUGAAGAAAUGAAUUUCAUGAUGCCAAGUCACUGUCUUAGCUAAAUGUAUUAUAUCAGAUCCUAAUAGUGUCUCACACUAAUUCAUUCCUGUGUCAACAUCAUGUUGCUUAAGAGGAGACAGAACUAAGGAGAAUUUGCUUACUAGAAUGUGAAAGCUACAGGUCUGGCUAUAGGUAGGUACUGCAAAUGGUG
rnacentral:lncRNA from 1 species